UCGGAAAGAAAAAGGUAAACCUCGUGUCUAGCUCAAUUAAUAAACAUGGUAAUUUCACACCCAAAAGGAGGACAUUAUUUCAUGUGAGUGCUAUCGGCUCCAUCACAAAGGGUCACAGCGCAGCUGUGGCGAGCCCGGGGUUAUUAUGCAGCCUGAUGAUAGGAUCCCGCUUGCCAUCCCGGCUCCUUCCUCGGGGCUACCAAUAGCCCCCGGCAGGGCUCGUGCCACCCCAUGAUAAAGGACUUACCCAAUGCGGGAGGAAAUGGAGCAGCUUUCAGAUGAGAGACCCAAACAAGCCCCCGAAGUUGUUUGCAAGCCCCCGAGCGCAAAGCGGAGCUGGGAGAGUCCCCUGCUCGGCCAGCGCCCCCCCAGCCCCGGCGCAUGGGAUUUCUGGUGUCAGGAACCGGGUCCAGGAGCCGUGAGGCGACACAUUAACUGCGAUCCCAUAAUCUCUUAAUCACAUUACGUUUUAAGUGAGCAUGUGUAAUUUCACCCAUCAAUGAUUUAUUUAAGCAUCGGAGCACAA